CGAUAGCCCUUGGGUGAUGGUUCCCGCGCCGACGAUUCCUCGGCCGGGAUGAAAAGGGAACACGGUGCGGCCCAUCCGGGCCAAUGCCGCGACUGCCCCCGCAACUGUAGGCGGAGAGCAAUGCCGGAACACCACUGGCCGAAAGGCUGGGAAGGUCGGCAAAGCUGCGACCCGCAAGUCAGGAGACCUGCCAUCGGAACUGAAACUCG
rnacentral:ncRNA from 2 species